rnacentral:lncRNA from 1 species
GAUAUAAAUAUAGAUAUCAAAUGGUUAACCACCUCUCUGGCUAUAGUAUGUGAGCAUCAUAAGCACUGUUUUACAAAUCAAGGGAUAACUAAAGGUAACUUAUCCCUGUCUAGCUGAUAUGUAAAAAGUAUAAAAAGGUAACACCAACAAAACAGUUUGAAGGCAAAAAUCACAAAUAAUAAUUCAAAAACAAAUAUAAGGAAAAGACACAUGCAGUAAUCUGAAAUACAGAUUGUUUCUGAUGCUUGAAGAAAAAAACCCAUUUCAUGCUAAUAUAAAUAUUAUGCUUUUAGGUGAAAAAACGCACUGCUUAUUUUCUUCAAGUCAAAAUGCCUUAAAGGAGCAGUAUCUUGAAUGUGACGUGGCAGACUCAAGGGGAUGCUCUUCAACAUAAAGCAUCAGAAGCCUGAGUAACAUUUUCUGAUCUUGACUCUACGUGACAAGUCGAAAAGAAUUUUUUUCAAUUUAGUUUUUACCAAGUCAGAUUCUAUUUGACAAUAUGGCAGCACUACACAUGGAAAGUAACUUAUUACUUUGGGCAUCUAGUUUAAAUAGAGACAAUCCAUAAUGUGCAUGUGAAAAAAAAUGGCCACUGUUCUUGAAGCAUUGCCCUUGAGCAAGCAACAAGUUUAAAUCUGUCAGUGUGGAAGAAAUUGUUUUUUCUUAAUUGCUUAAUUGUUAACCCUAGGAGAAAAUGACAAUAAAAUUCUACUUCAAAAUGUUUAUGUUUUUGGAAUUACAGGUACAUGUAGAAACCAUAAGUGGAACACUGUAUUAACUGAAUAUCAUUGAGAAACUUCAAGCAAACAUGUUACUGAUAUAAAUUAAAGAAUAAUUGAAAAGGAAAAGACCUCCUUCCUUUUUUCCCCAAAAGGUAAAUGUGUUUUCUUAUAGCUUUAACUACUUGCUGUAAAAUUAAAUGCUUUUAAUUUCUGAUACAAGGGAGCAGAAUACGAUGUUAAUAUUUUCUGUAUGUCUUUUGAUAUUAAUAAUGCAUUGAAAAUAUCUGCAACAUUAAAAUUCUUUCUGUGGGCUUUUUGUGAAUGCUAUUAUGUCAAGCCAUUAAUUGUGCACUUUUCCAAAAGCAGGCAACCUAUCCUGCUAGCUCUUGAAUCAUAUUGUGAAAGCAUAAUUGUAUUCUGUGCAUUCUUGGUUGACAUUAAAAUGGUCUGUUAGUUGUGUCUAGCAGAAUGUCUUCCUUUCUGAAUUAUGUAUUUAGAUAAACUUAUCCAACAACUUCAGAGCAACAUUGUGUUCCUGUCCUCCCAUCUGUAUGUAAGAGUAAAAACUAAGAGGUAGGUUUACUAAUUGGUUAAAAUAUCUUCUUCUCCACAUGUCUUAAAAUAUGAAUAAAAACAUGUAUGAAAAGAACAUUUCACAAAUGACUAUUUCAUACUUAAAGGCAUAUUUGGAAAUCUUAGAUAGUCCAGCAAGGACAACUAUGUAACUGUUACUGAACAUUGGAGUAUAUAAUAGUGAAUUAUAGCUGUCCAAAUAUCACCUAUGUCUGACUAUUGAUCUUUUUAUCUGCCUCUAGUUCUCAAGACUUCAAUUCUUCUCAAUAGCAACAUAUUUUUCAAAUAAUUUAUCUGCAAAAAUUUCCAUGAAUUUUUAAAUUUUAUUAGAACCUAAUAAUUAUUACCUCUUUUGAAUUUUCUCAUAAGGCCUCUAUAAUAUGGCCUUUUCCCUGCUUCAAUUUAUUCCCUGG